GAGAGAGACAUGCGCGCAUAUCAAUAAGCGGAGGAAAAGAAACUAACUAGGAUUCCCUUAGUAACGGCGAGUGAAGCGGGAAGAGCUCAAAUUUGAAAUCUUCAAGGUUUUACCUUGACGAAUUGUAGUUUAAAGAAGUGUUUUCUGCUGAAGUUUUGGUAAAAGUUCUUUGGAAUAGGACAUCAUAGAGGGUGAGAAUCCCGUAUUUGACCAUUAUUUUCAGCUUUGUGAUACACUUUCAAAGAGUCGGAUUGUUUGGGAAUGCAGGUCCAAAAUGGGUGGUAAAUUUCAUCUAAAGCUAAAUAUUGGCGAGAGACCGAUAGCGAACAAGUACCGUGAGGGAAAGAUGAAAAGAACUUUGAAAAGAGAGUUAAACAGUACGUGAAAUUGUCAAAAGGGAAGCGUUUGACACCAGUGUUGUUUUCUCGAAAAUCAAUUAAAAAUGGCUCGAUUUUGUAUUGUUGAGACCUUAAAAGCUCACUGUACAUUUUUCGUGUCUUUUUUAAUGCACUUUUCGUUUAACAAGUCAACAUCAGUUUCUUUUGUUGUAAAAGGGUCAUUGGAAGGUGGCUUUCUUUUCGGAGAAAGUGUUUAUAGCCUUUGGCCUCUGCAAUCGGAGAGACUGAGGUCUGCAGCGUAGACUCUUCGGGGUUAGAUACAUUUGUGCUAAGUUAUAGCUUUUUAUAGACAACUUGUUGACUAUAAUUAGUCUUGUAGCUUACUCGCUUAUGCUAUUUUACCUACGCUUAGGAUGUUGAAGUCAUCGUAUCGCGC
rnacentral:rRNA from 1 species